rnacentral:rRNA from 1 species
UACGUAGGUGGCAAGCGUUGUCCGGAUUUACUGGGCGUAAAGAGCGCGCAGGCGGUCGUUCAAGUCGCGUGUGAAAGCCCCCCGGCUCAAUCGGUGGGGAGGUCACGCGAUACUGAUCGACUCGAAGGCAGGAGAGGGAAGUGGAAUUCCUGGUGUAGCGGUGAAAUGCGUAGAGAUCGGGAGGAACAUCAGUGGCGAAGGCGGCCAUCUGGGACAACACUGACGCUGGAGGCACGAAAGCGUGGGGAGCAAACAGG